AGUGAACGCUGGCGGUAGGCCUAACACAUGCAAGUCGAACGGCAGCACAGUAAGAGCUUGCUCUUACGGGUGGCGAGUGGCGGACGGGUGAGGAAUACAUCGGAAUCUACUUUUUCGUGGGGGAUAACGUAGGGAAACUUACGCUAAUACCGCAUACGACCUACGGGUGAAAGCAGGGGAUCUUCGGACCUUGCGCGAUUGAAUGAGCCGAUGUCGGAUUAGCUAGUUGGCGGGGUAAAGGCCCACCAAGGCGACGAUCCGUAGCUGGUCUGAGAGGAUGAUCAGCCACACUGAAACUGAGACACGGUCCAGACUCCUACGGGAGGCAGCAGUGGGGAAUAUUGGACAAUGGGCGCAAGCCUGAUCCAGCCAUACCGCGUGGGUGAAGAAGGCCUUCGGGUUGUAAAGCCCUUUUGUUGGGAAAGAGAAGCAGCAGGUUAAUACCCCGCUGUUCUGACGGUACCCAAAGAAUAAGCACCGGCUAACUUCGUG
rnacentral:rRNA from 1 species